UGAAUUAUCAUCUGUGUGUUCAGGGUGCACUUUUGUCUAAACCUUUGACCACACUCAGAACAGACAAAUGCUUUUUCUGUCCUGUAUGAAUUAUCAUGUGUCUAUUCAGGGUGCACUUUUGUCUAAAUCUUUGACUACACUCAGAACAGACAAAUGCUUUUUGCCCUGUAUGAAUUAUCAUGUGUGUAUUCAGGGAGCUCUUUAGCCCAAAUCUUUUACCACA